UGGAAGAUAUCCCAGGCAGGGCAUGUCAGAACCCAAAUGCAUAUGGACUUGAUAGAGCCUGGAGAGUGACUGAAAUCACAGCUGCCCAACUUAUAUGCGGAAGUCUCCUACCGAGGGAAGAAAACCACAGAUUCUCAGAGCCAGAAGGAAACUGCAAAGCAGGCCUUCUCCUCCUCAUUCCAACUGAUUCUGAGGGGCCCAUCAUCGCAUUGUCUCCACCCAAACCACCACUGCAGAGUAGUAUGAAAUAUUUGUAUUCACUUAAAGUGGAAAGACAAUCUGCACACCUGGAGGAGAUAUUUGCAACAUUUACAACUGGCAAAGGUUUAUUACCAAGAAUAUAUAAAGAAGUCUUAUAAAUCAACAAGAAAGAAGAAAAACAACAGAAAGAAAUGGACAAAAGAAAAAGCAUUUUAUAAAAGAAGAAAUGCUCAUGGCCAGCAAACAUAUGGAGAUGUUCAAACUCAUGUGAAAUGUAAAUCAAGACCCAAUAAGAUAAGCUUUUAUGUCCACUAAAAUGGCAAAAUGUUAAUAGCUAGACAAUCCAAGUAUUGGAGAACAUACAGAUCCAUGGGAUCUCUUACAUAUCGCUUAUAAGGGUACGCAUUAGGACAUAGGACACUCACUUAGAAAAAGUGUGGCAUUAUCUUGCAAAAUCAAACACUCACAUAGGCUGCUGUGCAGGUCCUGAGUCUGUUUGCCCUCAGAUCCACUCUUUGCUAUGCCCUUAUGUCCUCAGUUUUCCAGCAGGAUCUCGGCAGCCAUGUCAUCUUGCUUCCAGUUGGGCUCAGUUAAUAAAAGAGAGAGAAUGGAAGGUGGAAAGAAGGGAGAAGCCAAGGUGUUUCUCACCAGCACCCUCCCCUUCUCCUCUCAGGUAACAUCCCCUGUGGUGGCCACAGCUCUCCGAUGGGUCCAGUUCCCACAGGAAAGCCAGCCAUGAUUCUAACUUCUACCAGGUGACCCUGGCCCUGGGCUCUGGUGACACUAACCUUUUGUUUCUCUAGUCCUGGGGAGGGGUAGUAACAGCUUCCUGCUAUUAUUAAUUUAUGGAUUGCCUCAUUGCCUCCUGUGAGGCUUCUCAGCUAUUGAUUACCAUACUACUCAGCAAUAAAAAGGAAAAAACUAUUGAUACAUGCAACAACUUUGUCGGACCACAAGAGAAUUUUACCAACUAAAAAAGCCAGUCUCACAUUGUUACAUACUAUAUGAUUCCACUUACAUAACCUUCUAGAAAUGACAAAAUUAUUGAGGUGAAGAACAGAUUAGUGGUUGCCAAGGGUUAAAGACAGGGUUGGGGUUGGAGAAAGAAAUCAGUGUACCUAAAAAGAAGCAGCCAGAGGGAUCUUUGUGGUGACGGGACAGUUCUGUAUCUUGAUUGUGGUGGUGGUUAUACAAAUCUACGUGUAAUAAAGUUUUAUGUGUGCAUAGAACUAUGUACAUACUCAAACAAAUGCAUGUAACCCUGGUGAAAUCUGAAUAAGGUCUGUGGAUUGUGCCAAUACCAGUGACCUGGUUUUGAUACUGUAUUAUAGCUAUCUAAGACAUUAUUAUCAGGAGAAAAUGGGGGAAAGGUACAUGUACUUUUCUGUACUAUUUUUGCAACUUCUCGUGAAUCUGUUACUAUUUCAAAAUUAAAAGUAUCUGAAAA
rnacentral:lncRNA from 1 species